rnacentral:rRNA from 1 species
AUUGAACGCUGGCGGAAUGCUUUACACAUGCAAGUCGAGCGGCAGCGCGGGGCAACCUGGCGGCGAGCGGCGAACGGGUGAGUAAUACAUCGGAACGUGCCCAGACGUGGGGGAUAGCCGGCGAAAGCCGGAUUAAUACCGCAUACGAUCUACGGAUGAAAGCGGGGGAGUCGCAAGACCUCGCGCGUCUGGAGCGGCCGAUGGCAGAUUAGGUAGUUGGUGGGGUAAAGGCUUACCAAGCCUACGAUCUGUAGCUGGUCUGAGAGGACGACCAGCCACACUGGGACUGAGACACGGCCCAGACUCCUACGGGAGGCAGCAGUGGGGAAUUUUGGACAAUGGGCGCAAGCCUGAUCCAGCCAUUCCGCGUGCAGGAUGAAGGCCCUCGGGUUGUAAACCGCUUUUGUCAGGGAAGAAAUCUUCUGGGUUAAUACCUCGGGAGGAUGACGGUACCUGAAGAUAAGCACCGGCUAACUACGUGCCAGCAGC